rnacentral:rRNA from 1 species
GCACAUGGUGGAUGCCUUGGCGAUUACAGGCGAUGAAGGACGUAGUAGCUUGCGAUAAGCUGCGGGGAGCAAGCAAACAUGCAUUGAUCCGCAGAUUUCCGAAUGGGGAAACCCGGCCUUUUAGGUCAUUGCAUACUGAAUACAUAGGUAUGCAAAGCGAACGCGGCGAACUGAAACAUCUAAGUAGCUGCAGGAAAAGAAAUCAACCGAGAUUCCCAAAGUAGUGGCGAGCGAAAUGGGAAGAGCCUGUACGUGAUAGUCGAGUUAAUAGUGGAACAGAUUGGAAACUCUGGCCA